GAUGAACGCUGGCGGCGUGCCUAAUACAUGCAAGUCGAGCGAACAGAUGAGGAGCUUGCUCCUCUGACGUUAGCGGCGGACGGGUGAGUAACACGUGGAUAACCUACCUAUAAGACUGGGAUAACUUCGGGAAACCGGAGCUAAUACCGGAUAAUAUAUUGAACCGCAUGGUUCAAUAGUGAAAGACGGUUUUGCUGUCACUUAUAGAUGGAUCCGCGCCGCAUUAGCUAGUUGGUAAGGUAACGGCUUACCAAGGCAACGAUGCGUAGCCGACCGGAGAGAGUGAUAGGCCACACUGGAGCUGAGACACGGUCAAGACUCCUACGGGAGGCAGCAGUAGGGAAUCUGCCGCAGUGGGCGAAAGCCUGACGGAGCAACGGCGCGUGAGUGAUGAAGGUCUUCGGAUCGUAAAACUCUGUUAUUAGGGAAAAACAAAUGUGUAAGUAACUGUGCACGUCUUGACGGUACCUAAUCAGAAAGCAACGGCUAACUACGUG
rnacentral:rRNA from 1 species